GACGAACGCUGGCGGCGUGCUUAACAUAUGCCAGUCGAACGGAAAGGCCUCUUUCGGGGGGUACUCGAGUGGCGAACGGGUGAGUAACACGUGAGUAACCUGCCCUUGACUUUGGGAUAACUUCAGGAAACUGGGGCUAAUACCGGAUAGGAGCUCCUGCUGCAUGGUGGGGGUUGGAAAGUUUCGGCGGUUGGGGAUGGACUCGCGGCUUAUCAGCUUGUUGGUGGGGUAGUGGCUUACCAAGGCUUUGACGGGUUGCCGGCCUGAGAGGGUGACCGGCCACAUUGGGACUGAGAUACGGCCCAGACUCCUACGGGAGGCAGCAGUGGGGAAUAUUGCACAAGGGGUGGAAGCCUGAUGCAGCAACGCCGUGUGCGGGAGGACGGCCUUCGGGUUGUAAACCGCUUUCGCUCAUGACGAAGCUUUGUGUGACGGUAGUGGGUAAAGAAGCACCGGCUAACUACGUG
rnacentral:rRNA from 1 species